rnacentral:tRNA from 3 species
GCGGGAUUAGUACAGUGGCUAGUAUACAGGCUUCCCAAGCCUGAGAGGCGGGUUCGAUUCCCGUAUCCCGCUCCA